UGGCUCUCAAUUAAUAUCUAAGAGUUAAGAGUUAACAUCAACAUUUCAUCCUUAUACAUGAAAAGCUUAAACAUCUUGUCAAGAUUUCAUAAGUAAAACUUGAUCAGUUAAGCUAACAAAAAUAUAUCAUCAUAAGCUCUUGGAGUUUUAUCCUUGUACAUGACAAGUUUAAACCUGAUAUCAAGAUUCCUUCAUAGUACAUGGUGAGUUUAAACCUAACAUUAAUAAUUUUCUCAUCAGAGGUUUAAGGAAGCUGGCUUGUCAUGUUUUAGCUUUUUUUGUCAGAUUUUCGGAAUCCAUUUGAAUGCCUUGAAAAAAAUUUGCCCGGUGACCCCCAUUUUUCAUUUUGUAAAUCUUUUACAUGCCUAAUGAUAAGCCAUCUGUAAAAGUCUUAUAAAAUUUUAAUUACUUUUUAAUAGUUUUUGAGAACUUCAACUUGUCAAUGAUAAAGCUAUGAAAAGUCAAGAAAGAAUAUUUUCCCGCCAAAAUUUCAAUGGCUAAUAUCUCGAAAACAAGCACGGUGACC
rnacentral:lncRNA from 1 species